UCCUAUCAGUUAAGUAAAGGGAAUGUUAGAUGGCCAUAGUUUUGUGAAGAAAUCUGUAAGAGAUUUCAAGAUGCAGAUAAUAGUAGAUUCAGUCUCAUGGAGAAUUUAAAAAGAUAGAGAAAAAGGGAACAAUUAAUGAAUAUUUGGAGAAAUUUAAGGACCUUAAGGCUUGGAUUCAAAUCAGGAGCCCAACUAUGCCAGAAGAAUUCUUUUUGGAAUUCUUUGUAGAAAGCCUCAAGGAAGACAUAAGACAUAGUGUGAAUAUUCCGAAUUCCUAUACCCUAAGACAAGAUGUUGAAAAGGUUAGGCAUAAAAAAAAUGUAAUUGAGACUUGGAAUAAGAAAGGAAAAGCUACAUGGGAAAAAGGAUAAACCUAUACCGGUUACCAACAGUCAAACACUCAGAACCUUCAUAGAGGUGCCAAGGGUGCCGGGGUGUCCAACUAAAAUAUACAGAUAAGCAAGGGAUUUGAAAACAUGAGGAAUAAUGGAUUGUGUUGGAAAUGUGGUGACAAAUAUUUCCCAGGACAUGUAUGCAAGCAGAAGCAAAUGAAUGUUGUGGCUGCUUCUGAAGAUCCAGACUAUGAUGGAGCCAAUAGAGGAAGGAGCUAGUCCAGUCUAUCAUGCAGGAGAGGAAGGCAUGGAUGAGGCCAAUAACCUCAAUGCUCUUUCUGGAACUGAGAUGCCCAACACAAUUAAGCUGAUGGACGAACAUCUAUAGGUCUUCACUAAUCGGGCCUAUGCCGGCCGAGGAACGGAAGAUGAUGGCGUUCUCCUCUCGAUUUUUCCAUCUCGAUUUUUACAAAUCCUGCAUUUAGUUUUCUUAUUCAACUACAAGAUGAACACAGACGACAAAGAAGGGUUGAAGUAAGAACAAAGGAAAGGAAUGAUGAAUAUCAAAUCAAACUUUUCGGUGGAUAAAUUUCAAUGGGAAAAGAGGUGGUUGUCUUGAGUAUGUGCCUUGAUGCUCCAGUAACUGCGACUCAGGAAAUCCAGCCCUGAAUUCAAAUGUCCUCAAUGGUAGGGUUACUCAAUUUGUUGAAUAUCAGAUUUUACUUUCUAUAUAUUGUGCAAACUUCAGUUCACAAUAACAUGAGAAAAAGAGGAAGAAGGCAAGAAAAGAAAGGUGGAUAAGAUAAACGGGUAGAGCACCUUGAUGUUGUAAGGUAAAUGCGAGGAAAUGGCCAUUGAAAAAUAUGAAAUUGUGGGUAAUUGGAUUGUUUCCCCAACCCUCUGAAAGCUGGUCAAUAUUUUGAAGCUAAAUCAUCCAUUUAGAAGCAGACAAGUGAAUUUAUGAGAAGAAUGAUGUGCUGCGGGAAGGUAUCAUGCAAUGAGGUCUGUUUUAUGUAUGUUUGAUUUACCUUGGUAGUAUUUAGUCAGAAGGUAGCAUAGGACUCAGGAUCAAGCUGUAGCUAUGAUCUUCUACUUUUUUGUCCCAGUGGCGAAGCCACAAAAUUCAACAAGGGUGUUCAAACCUUUGCCGGUGGGCUAUGUAAGGGUGUUCAAAGUCUAUUUUUAAUCAAUAACAAGCAAUAUUUUACCUUAUACGGAGUAUAAUUUUCCGGCGAAAGGUGGUCAACUCACGUAGCUUCGCCCCUGUUUGUCCCUCCACUUGGGUUCGUAAUGCUUACUUUUGGACUUUCUUAAAUUGCAUGCCUAAUAGAUACAUGAACCAAAUGAUGCUAUACUGAGUUGUCUAAAAUAUUGAAUCUCUUAUGAAUAUGGAAAUAUAACUUCAACUGUCUAUUCCCAUGAUUAUUUAUGCAUGCUUAUAAAAGUUCCCAGACCUGCAAGUUGGAUUAAAGUUUAAAUGCAGAUUUUGUAUUUUUGGUUUGGUCAACGUAUAGCUUUAUUUGAAUCACUUUCAUCACUGUGUACCAAAGAUCAGAAUUGCAUGUUAUAAAUAUUUAUCUUAAUUAACAUUUCUUUUUUCCCUUUUUCUAUUUCUAUAAAUUAAAAGUUCUUAUAUUGCAUGUUAUAGAAUUAACUUCUGUAUAACUAACUACUAGGAAAUAGGUACAAGUUUUUGCAAGUUCUUUCCAGAAAUCAGACAUACGAUGACCAAUUUUGGAACUAAAUCUCGUUUGCAGUGUUAUCUUAAAUAUGUGUUCCAAUUCAUCCAAUUCACUACAGUGUGAUUGUCUUCGUUCCAAUUAUCCGGUUUUUGUAAAAUCAAUGACAUGAAGGGUAUUAGAUAUAAAAUUAAGUUUCUUAUACACAUGCAAAUUUAUAUGUAUACCGAUUAAAUUUAAAUAUAUAAAAGAAAAUGUUAAUUCAUUUAUUGAUGACCGCGCGAAGCGCGGAUAAAUUUACUAGUGAUAUAAUAUAAGGGGGGAUUGGAUUAAAGGCCAUAAUCCAGUUUUGCUAAAAGCAUGUUGGGCUCACCUAUUUACUGUAACUGCAGUAGAAGGGGCAACUAGAGUUAAGCAUCCUCUUGUCAGCAACUAGAGCUAAGCAUCUACUUAAGAAGGGGCAAGCUAUUUAGGCUCACUUAUUUACUGUAACUGCAGUAAAAGUUGAAGAACGAGAGAAGGUACAUGCAGCUAUCUAGCAGGUCCUAAAGCAAUUCCCUAAUGUGUUUAUGUAACCUACAAGCCUUCCUCCCAAGAGGAAUCAUGAUCAUUAUAUGCCUCUGAAACCAAACACAACACUAGUCAGCAUAAGACUUUACAUGUACAAUUUCUUUCAAAAAAAUGAAAUUAACAAACAAGUCAAUGAGAUGCUAGCAAAUUAAACCAUACAACCUACUCAUUUGCCCUUUUCAUCACCAUUAUUAUUAAUUAAGAAGAAAAAUAGAAGUUUGAUAUUUUGCAUUGACUAUAGAGCUCUCAAUAAUAUGACUGUUAAGGAUAAAUUUUCCAUUCCCUUGGUUGAUGACUUAAUGGAUGAACUACGUGGUUCUCGUAUAUACUCUAAAAUUGACUUAAGGGCAGGUUACCACCAAAUUAGAAUGGGAGAAGAAGAUAUUUACAAAAUAACCUUUAGAACACGUUUAGGCCAUUAUGAGUUCAAGGUAAAUCCCUUUGGCUUAACCAAUGCCCCUGCCACAUUCCAAUCUCUCAUGAACCAUGUGUUUAGGGACUAUUUGAGGAAGCUUGUUCUGGUUUUCUUUGAUGACAUAUUAGUUUGCAUUGCCUCACUAAAUGUUCACACACAACACCUUGGAAGAGUACUUGAAAUAUUGAGGAAGGAAUAGCUCUUUUCCAAACUUUCUAAGUAUUCCUUUGGUCAAUCAAAGGUAGAAUAUUUGAGGCACAUUAUCAUUAGAUAAGGAGUAGCUACAAACCCCUCUAAGGUAGAAGCAAUGACUAAUUGUCAUGUUCCUAAGUCCAUUAAGUAUCUAAGAGGUUCCCUAGGUCUUACAAGCUACAACAGAUGAUUUAUAUAGUCUUAUGGAAUCAUCAGCAGACCAUUAACCAAUUUGCUGAAAAAAGAAUGCACUCCAAUGGUCUGUAGAGACUAAAACUACCUUCCUAACAUUGAAGCAAGCCAUGUCUACUGCCCUUGUACUAGCCCUAGCAAAUUUCGCUAAGACUUUUAUAGUGGAAACUGAUGCAUGCUCUACAUGAAUGGGGGUUGUGUUGAUGCAAGAUGGAAAACCUCUUGCAUUCUCCAGUAAAGCUCUAGGCCUUAGGCAUCUGGGCCUAUCUACUCAUGAAAAGGAAUAUAUGGAUGUCCUAUCAGUUAUAGACAAAUGGAGAUACUUCAUAUAAGGAGUAUAUUUUAUUAUUAGGACAGACUACGAAAGCUUGAAAUAUUUGCUGUAACAGAGCGACCACUGCUUUACAACAGAAGGGUCUGGCUAAGCUUCUUAUCUUAGCCUAUGAGGUACAGUAUAAAAAAGGAACAGAGAGUUGAAGAUGCACUAUCUAGAAGGGAGAAGGAAAGUCCUUCUUUAUGUGUAAUUACUACUACUAACCCAACCUGGAUGAAGGAUAUUGCGCAUAGCUAUGAUCAUGAUCUCAUGACUCUACAAUUUUUAACUGAGAUGAUCACCGGCCCUGAUAACAGGCCAAAUUUCACCCUACAACAAGGUAUCUGUUACACCCUAUAUUUUGUUUUUGUACGUAAAACUGUGUCGUGA